GGAUGUGAGGGCAAUUUGGCUGUGACAUCUUGAUAUUCAUCACCAGAACUGAUUCUGUUCAUCUUGAUGGCUAAAAGGGUGCCCCUUCCUCCCUUUCCACUCCAUGCAUAGCUCUCUAGGGCUGUAUGCUCCAUCAAAAAGGACAGCGUCUUCUAUAGGGGAGGGCCAUGCUUUGGUUGGUGACACCCAAGUAGCUGUGCUUUCCUGUUGGAAGCUCCAAUGGCUCUCAAGAAGGAUAUGUGAGACUAUGUCUCCUCAGGAUUUAUGUAGGAGCUGUAAGCAUGAACAGUGGGUCAGAAAGACUUAGUUCUGACCUUUGCU
rnacentral:snRNA from 1 species